rnacentral:rRNA from 1 species
AUUGAACGCUGGCGGCAGGCCUAACACAUGCAAGUCGAACGAGUGGCGGACGGGUGAGUAAUGUCUGGGAAACUGCCUGAUGGAGGGGGAUAACUACUGGAAACGGUAGCUAAUACCGCAUACCAUCGGAUGUGCCCAGAUGGGAUUCGCUAGUAGGUGGGGUAACGGGUCACCUAGGCGACGAUCCCUAGCUGGUCUGAGAGGAUGACCAGCAACACGGGGAAUGAGACAAGGUCCAUACUCCUACGGGAGGCAGCAGUGGGGAAGAGUGGACAAGGGGAGAAAGCCGGAUGCAGCCAUGCAGCGUGUAUGAAGAAGGCCUUCGGGUUGUAAAGUACUUUCAGCGGGGAGGCGUUACCCGCAGAAGAAGCACCGGCUAACUCCGUGCCAGCCGCCGCGGUAAGGC